rnacentral:ribozyme from 1 species
UGCCCAGCAACUCCUAUCCCUACCUCCUCGUGGUACUGACCGGAAACUAUGAGCAAUCUUAGGGAAGAUCGGGUAACCAACCCCGGUGGGAACUUUGGUCAUAGGCUGACAGGGAAGG